rnacentral:tRNA from 2 species
GCCGAUGUAGCUCAGCUGGCAGAGUGCGUCCUUGGUAAGGACGAGGUCACGGGUUCAAGUCCCGUCAUUGGCU